GAAAGGAUCACUCGACACCGGCAGGGCAAACUACCGCUUGUCAUUCCAGAAGGGAGGAUAAGGCCGGAGGCACCUCUUCUUGCUGCAAAGUUUGCAACUGAAUGCAACGUCACAGUCAGACACCAUAUGCCUGUGUUUAAGCGCUGGAAGGAUUACAAGGACCCGGAUGGACAUGUCCGAGAUGGGAUCUUCAGGAACUUUGUAGGCAAAGUUGGUAACAAGUUUCAGAUGGACGUAGAUGUUGUGCCAGUUAGGAAGGCUUGUACUGAAAUGCUGAAACGUGCGACUCGCCAACAACGAUAUAGGCUCAAGAUCGAAAGAGUUUUUUGA
rnacentral:rRNA from 1 species